rfam:Slackia heliotrinireducens DSM 20476, complete genome.
CGUAUCGGAGAUAAAAACACGACCCCGUCGGGUAGUCGGGGUGCGCCGACCGGCGUCAGUAACCUGCCUCCUUGGUUGUCCCUUCUCCGCGUGGUGACU